AGCAGGCUAUUUCAUUUGGUCAAAGAAAUAUUGAUCAUUGUGAUUUUAUGUGGAUAAAUCGGUCGUGUAUUUAAUAGCCGACAUUUAUAACACUGAUUAUCACAUUCUGAGGACGUUUUUCGUGAGGAAGAAAGUAUCUAUAGCAACAGAGAAAAAGAUGGGACGCUGGUUUGUGCUGAUCACUCUCUGCGUUUUGCUCGUUGAUGGUGUGUUUUGUGAUGAAAUGAUGACAGUGUCAGUGAUGGAUGGAGAUUCUGUUACUCUACACACUGGCGUUAC